ACCUGGGACAGCUCAGUCUGUAGAGCAUGGGAUUUUCAAUCUCAGGUUCAUGGUUUCGAACCCCACACUGGGCA